UGGGGAAUUUUGGACAAUGGGCGCAAGCCUGAUCCACGCAAUGCCGCGUGCAGGAAGAAGGCCUUCGGGUUGUAAACUGCUUUUGUACGGAGCGAAAAGGCUCUCUCUAAUACAGGGGGCUGAUGACGGUACCGUAAGAAUAAGCACCGGCUAACUACGUGCC
rnacentral:rRNA from 1 species